CGGGACACGUGGUAUCCUGUCUGAAUAUGGGGGGACCAUCCUCCAAGGCUAAAUACUCCUGACUGACCGAUAGUGAACCAGUACCGUGAGGGAAAGGCGAAAAGAACCCCGGCGAGGGGAGUGAAAAAGAACCUGAAACCGUGUACGUACAAGCAGUGGGAGCACGCUUAGGCGUGUGACUGCGUACCUUUUGUAUAAUGGGUCAGCGACUUAUAUUCUGUAGCAAGGUUAACCGAAUAGGGGAGCCGAAGGGAAACCGAGUCUUAACUGGGCGUUAAGUUGCAGGGUAUAGACCCGAAACCCGGUGAUCUAGCCAUGGGCAGGUUGAAGGUUGGGUAACACUAACUGGAGGACCGAACCGACUAAUGUUGAAAAAUUAGCGGAUGACUUGUGGCUGGGGGUGAAAGGCCAAUCAAACCGGGAGAUAGCUGGUUCUCCCCGAAAGCUAUUUAGGUAGCGCC
rnacentral:rRNA from 1 species